GAAUAAAAGAAAACUCUCAAUAAUGCCUGCGGUCAAUUACUCGGCUCAAACUCCAAGCCAUAGAAUAGAAUCCAAAUAGAAAAUAUACCAAAUCUCAUCAAAGGAAAGUUAAGAUUUCGCCAUGGCAUGUGCUGGGUUCUUAUUUUCCGUUUUUCUUCUUGUCAUGGUCAUCAAAUCUGGAGCUGAUGAAGUAUGCACAAGAAGCGUGAUGUCUCCCGCGCAGCGUGCUCUCUGUGGAUCGAUGAUUGAGCCCUCUGACUGCUUCAAACGUGAUACACCGCGUGGACGAUUCGCUAUCACAAACUGUAGGCAAAUGUGCGAGCUUUGCUGAUAAGUAAAAAGCGUUUCAUCGGAAGCAUUGUGUUGUAACAUUGUAAAGAGCUUGGAUGGAAGAAAAUAAACAAUCACAACAA